AUUGAACGCUGGCGGCAGGCCUAACACAUGCAAGUCGAGCGGAACGGCGGACGGGUGCGGAAUGCCUAGGAAUCUGCCUGGUCGUGGGGGCUAACGUCCGGCAACGGGCGCUAACACCGAAUACUAUCCGACGAGCCAAGGUCGGAUUAGCUAGGUGGGGGGGUAAAGGCCUACCAGGGCGACGAUCCGUAACUGGUCUGAGAGGCUGAACCGUCACACUGGAACUGGGAAACGGUCCAGCCUCCUACGGGAGGCAGCAGUGGGGAAUAUUGGCACAUGGGCGAAAGCCGGAUCCAGCCAUGCCGCGUGUGUGAAGAAGGUCUUCGGAGUGUAAAGCACUUUAAGUUGGGAGGCGUUACCAACAGAAUAAGCAACGGCUAACUUCGUGCCAGCCGCCGCGGUAAUUC
rnacentral:rRNA from 1 species